rnacentral:lncRNA from 1 species
UCGGGGACUUUCCAGUUUAUCUGAACUGUCCUAAAAGCAGCUUUCCACCCAUCUGCCCACCCAGAAGCUGAGCUGUCCCGGAACCUGGAUGAACUUCAAACUGAUCUGAGCAACUUCAAGUCCAAGAGUGAGGCUUGGGAGGGGAUGGGGGGAGCAACCAGGAAAGGGCCCUACAAGUCCAUCUGUUAACACUAACCCUAACCUCCCCGUUCACCCAAGGCUUGAAUGAGAGGCGCACAGACAAAGACUCACUGGACAGACUCCAGGAAGAGGUGAUGAGGUUGCAGAUAGAGCUACGGGAGUUGAACGGUAAAAGCAUUCCUGCAUUCACCAUCACUGGUUUCUCUUUGCUCCCCUGUCCUCCACCCAGCAUGGCUUCACAGAGGGACAACAGUAGGAUUCCCUUAACCAUGACCCUCUGGAAGACCGAGCUUGCCUGGGGGCAGGAGAGGGGGACCCCUGCAGUCAAAGGGUGAUGGUGAUGACGCUGGCAUCUUCCCUGGGGGUGGCAGAGAUGGAGGUGGUGUUGGUGGUUGUGAGGGUCACAUGGUGGCACCCAGAGGUUGCACAAAGACCAGAUUGUGCCUUUAACCUUGAGUAGGAACCUGAGCUGUACAGCCUUUCGGUGGCUUUUUUGCAUGUCCUGUGGUCCGACCCCUUGGUUUCUGACCUCCCUCCUCUGGGAAGUCCCAGCUGCCCCAAUUAGGUAAGAGAAGAGGAAGGAUCUCUGCU